UACGUAGGGUGCGAGCGUUGUCCGGAAUUAUUGGGCGUAAAGAGCUCGUAGGCGGUUUGUUGCGUCGGCCGUGAAAACCUGCAGCUUAACUGUGGGCCUGCGGCCGAUACGGGCAGACUUGAGUUCGGUAGGGGAGACUGGAAUUCCCGGUGUAGCGGUGAAAUGCGCAGAUAUCGGGAGGAACACCAAUGGCGAAGGCAGCUUGCUGGGACGGUACUGACGCUGAGACGCGAAAGCGUGGGGAGCAAACAGG
rnacentral:rRNA from 1 species